CAGGGUGCGUCGUAUUCAUAGCCGUUUGUCCCAAUUGGAAAGGAAGGCAUUUGAGAGCAAAAUAGCACUUUGCUGCAAACUGCUCGCUAAGAAAAUGGCAAGACAGUCUGUGUUCUGAGGGAGGCUGGGAGCUGGAAAUGGGCAGGUACCUGAGAAAAACAGAACAAAAGCAGGUGCAGAAGGCGGUCAAUGGCAGCCUGUGCCAAGCAGAGCAGGGUGGCUUUCUUUUUAUUUAAAAUAACAUUUUUAUUGAUUCCUGAAUUCCUGCCCAGUCGAGACUGGGGAGGCAGGAAGCCACAUGGACGAGGUGCCUGGGGAGAAAGCCCACGGUCUCCCAGAGCACGCCCUCCCGAGGCUGCUUCCAUUCUGCACCGCGUGGCGGGGGCGGUGGACACAGCCGACUCAGUUUCCCUUGCUCUUACAGCGAGCACCAGCCCUUCUCUCCCAGGAGCUGAGAUGAUUCAUGAACGACCGAGGAGAGAUUUGAAGAUGAAAAAUGUCCUUGCCGUCUUGGGGAUUAAUCAUCGCAUAACGCAUGCUCCCUCUCUGCGUGCCGACUUAAUUACCUGCCGUCGACAAAACGAUUCUCCUCCCGCUCCUCUCCGGAGAAACGCUCCCGUUUGGAGCCCGCGGUACAGAUUCUCGGCAAAGAAUCAAAGCUCUCUUUGCAGCAGCGGAAAGGCUCGGGAGUGUUUGUAUAGAAUGAGAGAGAACAAAAGCAGCCUCUGCUGGAGAGGGGCCUCCCAGGUUUGGAGGGGACAGACCAGGGAGAGACAGAAAUGGCUCUAAUUUUGUGAUUUAAAAAAUAGAACUCGGUCCUGUUUCCUCCCAAGCCUACUGAGAGGAGUCCUUGGCCCCUCCGACAGCUUGCUCCAAGGGGCAGAGCGGGGCAGGGAGCAUGACCUUGCCUGGAGGUGGACCUGUGUUGUCCUGGCUAGGACCCUCCAGAGAGCUGAGUCUACUGUCUGCUUCUGUCUCAAGACUCGGUCAUUGGAGAGUCUUAGGGAUAUGGAACUUGCCUUGCUGACCCUUCCUGGGGCCAUAGCUACUGGACACCCGGGCUUGCUUAGCCAAAGUCUUGUCCCAGAACUGGCACGGGGCUGCCACAAGGACGGAUGAACUACAAGCGACGGCAAUGGGCUUCUGCGCAGACGGCCCUACAGGAAGCUCUGAGAUAGCACCCCCUGCGGUCCCCUGCCCACCACCACCCCAUUUUGCUUUUCUUCAAAUUGAUCUCCACCUGACACAGUGCAUGCCAAUGCUGGUCUCCUUCUCCCCCACCCAGGGGGAGGUGGGGAACCUCCUGAGAGAGAACCCGCUGUUGUGUUCAAGGCUGUGUUUCUGGGGCACAUGAGGCCCGGGCUGGGUGCUCAGUGAAGCUCUGAUGAGUGGAUGCAAGGCUUUCCAGGAAAGAAGGUGAAGGCACGAGGAUGGCUUAGGAGGAACGGGAGGGGACCAGCAGAGGAGCCCAAGGACAGGAGGUUACAGAGCGCCCUGGCAGCCUGGGAUGGGGGUGCCAUCCUCUUCGUAAGCUGCACAGCUGCCUCAACCCCUGAGCAGGCACACAGCAGGCACGGGUAGGGGUCCUUUCUCCUGGCACAGACAGCCCCACAGCCCAUGGGGCGGCAGAGCCUCCACCCCGGACACUCCUGCUCCCGGAUGCAGAGCAAGAGGUGGCUGUGGCCUUCAGGGAUGUCACGCAGAGGCUGACGGGAGCACGGUUCACUGAGAGAGAGAAGCCAGCAGGCCUCAGCCAUGGAAGCCGGUGCCCGAUUGGUGCCCAGCUGUGAUUAGAGAGUCCUAUUUCAAUGUGGGCCCCUCAGGCCCAUGUCCAGAGGCCUCUGUCCCAUGGAGAACUGUGCUCGGCACACCGUUUCUGACCCUCUUGAAGGAUUAUCUGCUAGUCUGGGGGCCUGGGUGCCAUGUUCUGCAUAGACAGCCAUGACUGGGAUGGAACCUGGACCAGCCCCCGGAGCAGCUGAGUGUCUACCCAUCGGUUCAAACAGAAGGACCCCGGAUGUCUGCCUUGGACAGCCAGCCCAGCUCUUUGUGGGCUGAUGGGAGCUCCCCUUUCCAGGGCUCUGGGCCUGUCUCCAGAGCUGGAAGCGCUGAGGACUCCCAGCCCUGGCCAUGAGAAAUGACAAAGCCCACACCUGCCCACCCUGUUUAUGUCCACCCUCCUGUGGUGGAUGCCCUUGUCUCGUCUCUGUGAUACCGUGGGCUUCCCUUGGCAGAGGCUUCGUCACAAAACUCUGACUGAUGUUUACUCAUCUCUCUCCCCAGCAAGCCCCGGGGAGCAUCUCACAGGCGGCCACCCCGCCAGAGCCACCCACCUCUCCUAGUGCUGGGUCACUGCACGCACGCAGGGCUGAGUCCUCCACUCCCCCCAUCUGCCUUUGGAGCCAGAAAAUCACUCACUGGCAUUCAUCAAGUCCCCGAUUCAGUUUUAGGGCUGGAAGGACCUCCUGAGGCCUGCCUGUGUUCAUUCACUGGUCCGUUCAUCAUUCAUUCAGUAGUGGUUCCAGGUACAUUGCUCAAGAAAGAGAUGUGAUCCCUGAGUCCCUGGCCUCAGUGCGCUGAGAGACAAGUGAAGUGGUCCCAGGGCCACGGUGGGAUGCAGAAGGUGCAGUGUGUCCUGCCAGUGGGGAGACGGGAGAGUUAUGACUGUCCGGUGCAGACAAGACGGAAGGACGAAUGGCCAUUAUCAGGUCCCAGAGCCAGGCUCCAUGGUGACCCACUGCCAGGGAUGACGGGCAGACUGCCACUCCCAACAGAGCCUCAGCUUUGUCACCUGUAGGGCAGGAGAGCAGCAAGACCUGCUUGGAAGUUGAGCGUCCCCAUGCCCAGCAGGCAUCCCGCCCUCCUCCGCCUCUUCACAAAGGCCAGUCAUCCCGUGCUUCCGACACCAGGGCCAGGAGGAGCAGUGUCCCCCUCUCUGGGCCCGUAGGCCUUUGACAGGUGGAGACACCUGUCCCUGCUGGGCCCCAGGUUUGUAUCUGCAGCCACAGAACAGAGCAGGGAAGAGCCAAACUGACCCGCCAGGAACCUCAGCUCUUCCCUGUCUGGGUCCUGCCCUGACCAUAUCCGUCACUGUCAACACCAGGAGGAGAGCAUGCGGCGGCCCAUGCUUCCUGACAGCAGCCUUCCCUAAAGAGCCAGGCCCACCCCACGGACCCCAACCUGGGGUCUCUCAAAGGCUCUGGGCACUGCCUUGGCUGAAGCCAGUCCUGAGCUCCAACUUAGGGACAGAACCAGCCACCUUGGUAGAUAGGGCUUGGCAAUCUCCCAGAUUCCCGAACACACCCCAUAGGCCCCUUCCAGCCUCAGGUUUGGAGAGGCAGAGGGGGAAAGGUCCCAGCUAAGCCAGCCAGGGGCAGGGAGAAGGUGCGCUGGUCUGGUCAGUUACCUCCCUGACUUCCUCAUCCAUGCGGCAGCUGAAGCCUGUGACAGGAAGAGGCAAAACCAAAACCAAACCUGUCCCUAAAGGUUAAGCUUAUCGGUCCUUACGUGAGAGUGUGAAGUGUUUUAAUUGGGUAAACUGAUGCAUCCUGUUAGCUGAGCUAAACCAGACAGAGCUGAUUGGAGGAGGCAGGGCUGAUUUCAAAGAUGAACCUCCAGCCAAGAGUGCCCGUGAAGACGCUCGGGCUUCCUCCUGCAAAGCUGCAGGUCCUCAUGUGCCCGAUGCUCUCCCGCUAGUGGUUAGCUCUGCAACCGCCUCCAGGUUGCCUCAGUUUCCCCAAAUGUAAAAUGUACAGUGAAGUCCCCCCUCCCCUCCUGCACCAUCCCAGGUGGCUCUUACUGAAGGUCGGCCACUCUGGUUAGGUCACGUGCACAUCCUUUACAUGGAAAAUGAUUGAAAUCUGCACCUGGACAGUGCUAUCAGCUGUGGGCCGCCAGCUCUGCAGGGACCCGAGGCCCCAGUGCAGGCUCAGAACGAGGCAGAAACAGCCCCAUGCACCGCUCCAGGCAUCCACAUUCUCAGGGACCAAUCACCCUCCUCCGUGCCUGUCUGGGCCACCAUGGGAGCGAUUCGGGGCUGCUCAGGCCUUGGUCCUCUCGUCCUAAGGGAAGAAAGCUGAAAAUACCUAGAUGUCUAGAUGGCCCUGGAUCCACGACAGUCUCUGUCCGGAGCACAGGAGCUGUGCAUGACCACGCCACCGAUUUCCUCUUGAGAGACUUCUAGCGGUGGGGGGGCUGUGGUAGCAAAUACAGAGUGUGUAUGAUCCCAACAUUAACCACGCAACUCCUAGCCUGCAACACUUAAAAGAGGAACCUGCCACCCUCCACGAGGCUGGAGAAGCAGCGGGAGUUUCCAAAAGGCAGCUUUGGUUUAAACCACAAGAUAAUGGAGGGAUCUGCAUUUUGCUGAAGAAACCGCAAGCUACCCUCUGACAUUGUUUCACUUCUUUUUUGUUGUUCCUUUUUGAACAUCUCUUAUUGAAGCAAUUUCUGGGCAAAUCACACAAAUAAAGCGCUUGAGAAACAGGUUAUAGCCCACUUACCCAACUUGCUAAUUAGAUGUGGCAAUUUCUAGAGAGACUUGAACUUCAGUGACCAGCCACCCUGGUUUGCCCUGGGGACAUAAGACUGUCAUUGCUAAUACUGGGACAGUUCCAGGCGAAACGAUGGGAUGGUCAGCCUGCCUGCACCCUGGUCAUUGUCUUCACCUAGCAGCUCCACCCCUCAUUUCCGUCAGUUGUGAUGACUGGCAGGUGACUAGCCAAUCAGAUUCUUCCCUAGGAUUCUUCAUGGAGGAUGGGGGGCUCACUUGCCCCCCAACUCAGAGUAUGAUGGAGGUGACUUAGUGGUGACCAUGGCUGGCUGGGCUCUCUCUGCCUCUGAGAGAGUGCUCCUCUGUAGAAGGAGAGAAAGAAAGAAAGAACCCAGGCAGGGACAGAGUGUGUACAUGUGUGCGUGCAUGCAUGUGUGUGUGUGAGCCUGCAAACCCACGUGCCCACCCCCCGGUGUCUCUUGUCACUGCCAUGACCAGAUCAGGGUGCUGGGAGGAUGGAAGAAGUUGUGGUCACGUGCUCUGGCCUCUACUGUAGCAGAGAACCCGCUACACAGAGGUGACUGUGCAGGGGUGAGGGAGGUGGAGGAGAAGGUAUUUAUGUGCAAUAAAUAUUUAAUUCCACCCAGCGCUCCUCCCGUACCAACGUGGAUCCUAGAUUAGUUUUAUACAUUCCACCCACAUCGCCAUACCCUUCAGCAAGGUUAAUCCUGUCCUAAUGCGAGUUUAAAAAUUAAAUCCACUUCGAUGAAUGAAUGUCCUUUGCAGCUUCAUCCCAUUCUUUUAUGCAGAGUAAAUAUGUUUGCACAAUGGCUCUGGGAACAGCGCUCCAAAGCGGAUCACACAGGCAUCCAGCACAGCUCCCGGCCCCGACUCCAUGCAUUAUAUAUGACAGUCCCAAUCCAGUCUCGCCACUGUGCUGGGGAGCGGGCAGCAGCUUGUCAGCGCCUUUAAAUCAAGCACAAAGCAGAUUGUGAGCUGGUUCCGGGGAACAAAAAGCAGUAAAA